UUAUGAAUUGAAAAAUUGCGAAUCGAAGCUUACUUAAGACAGUUUUGUCACAAGUGCUUUGGGGAAAGUCUCCGGUCACUACUGGCGGAAACGCAUCUAGUGUAAAGAGACUAGGUAUUUGUUCUCUGAAAAAGUAAAAAGAAGAUUGAGAUGUGGACUGAGCUGGCGUGCCUGACGAUUUGUUGCCUCCAUAGAGGCUAGACCUGUUCUGAUAUCGUUGAUAUGGCAAACUCGCAGGUGCUCUGGUCGGACUACAUUGCUAUCAGAUCAUCUUUUCUUUUCUCAGGGAAUGAAUCAGACAUAAAAUUUCGACGAUGUAGGAUGUUUUCUACAAACGAUAGUUAUGCAAUUGCCUUCUACAGGUAACCCAAUGGAGCUUAAUCUCGAUUCAGUA
rnacentral:RNase_MRP_RNA from 2 species